rnacentral:lncRNA from 1 species
CUUGUUUAGUGUCUUCUUUUUCUUUAACUCUAAAACCCAGCCUGGCACCGUGACAGAUUAUCGGGAGUCAAAAGCUGAGGCGAGGUUUUGAUGGGAAAACUGGUCCACACAGAGCUCUCCCUAUUCCACAAUUGCAAGGCCAUAGCUGAGCCACUGGGGAAUCAGACUGAGCCGUUCUCUGGGGGAAGUGCCAUCCAGCUUCUAGCCAAAGCAAAGCCAAAUGUCGGUCUUUGAGGAGCCUCACCCACUGGCAAAGAUCGAACAUCUCCCUUAAAUAUGUGAAAGAAAAAUUGUUGGUUGUCGAGUGAAUUCUCUGCUUGGAAAAAAACUGCCUCUUCUUAAUCUACAAGUUCAAUAAAAGUUCAAAAGUUGAUCGGUG